GGCAGUUCUCAGGUGGUGCACCCCGAAACCAGGCUCCCUCCUCUCUGGUUCUGGGUGCAUCACCCAAGAACUGCA
rfam:Myotis davidii contig28031, whole genome shotgun sequence.